CAGCCGCCACGGUAAGACAGAGGAUGCAAGCGUCAUCCGGAAUGAUUGGGCGUAAAGGGCUCGCAGGCGGUUUCUUAAGUCUGAUGUGAAAGCCCCCGGCUCAACCGGGGAGGGUCAUUGGAAACUGGGAAACUUGAGUGCAGAAGAGGAGAGUGGAAUUCCACGUGUAGCGGUGAAAUGCGUAGAGAUGUGGAGGAACACCAGUGGCGAAGGCGACUCUCUGGUCUGUAACUGACGCUGAGGAGCGAAAGCGUGGCGAGCGAACAGGAUUAGAUACCCGGGUAGUCCCUGUCUCUUAUAC
rnacentral:rRNA from 1 species